rnacentral:ribozyme from 17 species
UUUUGUUCUUUUUCCUUUCUUCCUUCUUUCGUUCCUUCUUUUCUUUUUUCUUCUUGGAUGAAGUUUCAACAAUGACGGUAAGUUCCUCGGCCAUGUUUAUACGUUCGAAUCGAAAAAGAUAUCCUUGAAAAGAUAGAUUCGAUAGAUUGGUACUUCUAUUAUUUGUUGUCUUCGGUGCUGUUACUGAGUUUAAGUACCGUCUCGUUCCCAAAAAAAAUAUAACAAAAA